UACGUAGGGUGCAAGCGUUGUCCGGAAUUAUUGGGCGUAAAGAGCUCGUAGGCGGUUUGUCGCGUCUGCUGUGAAAUCUGGGGGCUCAACCCCCAGCCUGCAGUGGGUACGGGCAGACUAGAGUGCGGUAGGGGAGAUUGGAAUUCCUGGUGUAGCGGUGAAAUGCGUAGAUAUUGGGAGGAACACCGGUGGCGAAGGCGGCCCCCUGGACCGGUACUGACGCUGAGGCGCG
rnacentral:rRNA from 1 species